GACGAACGCUGGCGGCGUGCUUAACACAUGCAAGUCGAACGGAAAGGCCCUGCUUUUGUGGGGUGCUCGAGUGGCGAACGGGUGAGUAACACGUGAGUAACCUGCCCUUGACUUUGGGAUAACUUCAGGAAACUGGGGCUAAUACCGGAUAGGAGCUCCUGCUGCAUGGUGGGGGUUGGAAAGUUUCGGCGGUUGGGGAUGGACACGCGGCUUAUCAGCUUGUUGGUGGGGUAGUGGCUUACCAAGGCUUUGACGGGUAGCCGGCCUGAGAGGGUGACCGGCCACAUUGGGACUGAGAUACGGCCCAGACUCCUACGGGAGGCAGCAGUGGGGAAUAUUGCACAAUGGGCGGAAGCCUGAUGCAGCAACGCCGCGUGCGGGAUGACGGCCUUCGGGUUGUAAACCGCUUUCGCCUGUGACGAAGCGUGAGUGACGGUAGUGGGUAAAGAAGCACCGGCUAACUACGUG
rnacentral:rRNA from 1 species